AGCGCGCGCCCUUUUGCGUGGACGUUCGGAGCGUGGAAAUAUGAGCCUGAAAUCUGUGAUGGUGCUGCUGUUACACACAUUAAACUCUGUGACCUGAUAUCACUACUUUUAAGAUGAAGAUGAAAUUCAGGGAGCAGCUGGGAUGCAUUUGGCCUUGGGUCUUCAGUUUCUGAUUCCUAAUGUGCAUCAAUGAUACAGGAGCGCUCUUGGACUAAAGACUGCCAUUAUGUCUGCUGAAAAAAGCAAAGUGUUGAAGUCAAAGGGGAACAUAAUCUGAAGUUGUCUUGGCUGAAGUUACAUCAUGCAUGAGCUCUAAUGUGAUCCUCAAGGAUUUGAAGAAAAUCAAUUUGGAAAUUAGCAGUUUGUUAAAAAUGUACAACUGUUUCUUACCUUAAGCACUAAAUAUAAUGCCAGAAAAUGUGUUUUCUUAAAGAGAAUGUAAUUGUGAUCCUAUGCAAUAAAUUACCAAAAUAAAAGAUUCAUUGUACCAGA